rnacentral:rRNA from 1 species
ACACUCCUGCGGGAGGCAGCAGUGGGGAAUCUUGCGCAAUGGGCGAAAGCCUGACGCAGCCAUGCCGCGUGAAUGAUGAAGGUCUUAGGAUUGUAAAAUUCUUUCACCGGGGACGAUAAUGACGGUACCCGGAGAAGAAGCCCCGGCUAACUUCGUGCCAGCAGCCGCGGUAAUACGAAGGGGGCUAGCGUUGCUCGGAAUUACUGGGCGUAAAGGGAGCGUAGGCGGACAUUUAAGUCAGGGGUGAAAUCCCGGGGCUCAACCUCGGAAUUGCCUUUGAUACUGGGUGUCUUGAGUAUGAGAGAGGUGUGUGGAACUCCGAGUGUAGAGGUGAAAUUCGUAGAUAUUCGGAAGAACACCAGUGGCGAAGGCGACACACUGGCUCAUUACUGACGCUGAGGCUCGAAAGCGUGGGGAGCAAACAGGAUUAGAUACCCUUGUAGUCCCAUG